UCUGUGUUGGCCGAAGGAUAAGAAAGCCCAUCACCCCGUGGCCGAAUUUAGCUACAUGUCACCUAGCUGGGCCCGGUGGAUGAGAAGAUCUGGGCUGUGAAGGAGUCCACGACCAUCUGGAUGAAAUCCUGCCAACUUCCCAGAACUUUGUGCCUCCUCCUGACCAAUGCCUCAUGUGUUUGCUGUUCUGUCACCUCGGCUGCCAUGAAAUCUCAUCUCUCUCCAUACCAUCCUGAUGCCUCACCACUGUCAUCGGCUGCCCCUGUCCUUGACCUGACAUCCUCUGAUCCCCGGGCUGGCAUCUGACAUCACUCCAGCCUGAAGAUGCUCUAGGACCCCAGGAGCGGCCUGUGCUUAGCUUCCAUCUGGUGAGU